rnacentral:lncRNA from 10 species
CAAUUUUUCAACCUUAUGACAGGUUUAUCGAGGUACUAAAGUUGUUUUCAACUUAGGAUGUGUUUAUUGGGAUGUAGCCUCAUUGUAAAUUGAGGGGCAUCUGUAAAUCUCAUUUUUAAUUUAAUUUUAUUUUAGAAACAGGGUCUCACUCUGUCACCGAGGCUGGAGUGCAGUGUUGCCAUCAAAGCUCACUGCAGCCUCGAACUCCCAGGCUCAAGCGAUCCUGCCGCCUCAGCCUCCGGAGCAUCUGGGACUACGGGCGUGCGCCAGCACACUUGCACUAGCUCCCGGGCCAGGCUGGGCGUGGCGUAGAUGGAAGAUGGUAAAGAAGCCAGCUAGAAAGGCAGGAACGCAGCGUGACGGUGCCAUACCCAGAGGGCCUGCCUGGGCAGCCCCCAGAGGCCUUCAAAGCUACACUGGAGAGCUUGGCCGAGGGACCAAUGGCAAUGGCACACACUGAAGUGUUUUACACAAAAAAAACCGCCUGGCUGGAUGUGGCUGGCAAGAAGAUGGCCGGAGCUGCAGGUGACGAGUGAUCAAGAGGAGCCCAUGGCAGUGGGGACAGGUCACAGCUGAAGUGGGUGACCUGCAACAUGUUCAGCAGGUAAAAUUGACAGGUUUGGUCGGACUGGCCACAAGGGAGAGGACGGGUAAAGGACAGCUCUUGGUCUCUGGCCAGGCCGGCGGCUCAACAAGUGUCCAAACAAACCAUCCGUGUGCCCGGUGUCUACCUGAGCUGCCGUCACCUCUUCCUUUGCCGGGUUUCAUUUUUCUCUUUUGCUGUGUUGCUGCAACUGGUUGCCAAAAGGACUGCACAGCUCUCCUGGCAAUUUGGCAAAGUCUAGAACAACAGUAUUUCCCAUAAUCUCACCAUUAAAGGACAACCCUUGUGGACAUCCUGGCAGAUUUCUUUCUGGUCUUUU